rnacentral:rRNA from 1 species
UACGAAGGGGGCUAGCGUUGUUCGGAUUUACUGGGCGUAAAGCGCACGUAGGCGGAUAUUUAAGUCAGGGGUGAAAUCCCGGGGCUCAACCCCGGAACUGCCUUUGAUACUGGGUAUCUUUGAGUCCGGAAGAGGUGAGUGGAAUUCCGAGUGUAGAGGUGAAAUUCGUAGAUAUUCGGAGGAACACCAAUGGCGAAGGCAAUCCCUGGACCUGUACUGACGCUCAUGCACGAAAGCGUGGGAGCAAACAGG